GCAGUAGGGAAUAUUGGGCAAUGGGCGAGAGCCUGACCCAGCCAUGCCGCGUGCAGGAAGAAGGCUUUCUGAGUCGUAAACUGCUUUUGACAGGGAAGAAUAAGGUGUACGUGUACACUGAUGACGGUACCUGCAGAAUAAGCACCGGCUAACUCCGUGCCAGCAGCCGCGGUAAUACGGAGGGUGCGAGCGUUGUCCGGAUUUAUUGGGUUUAAAGGGUGCGUAGGCGGCUUUUUAAGUCUGGGGUGAAAGCCCGCUGCUCAACAGCGGAACUGCCCUGGAUACUGGAGAGCUUGAGUACAGACGAGGUUGGCGGAAUGGACGGAGUAGCGGUGAAAUGCAUAGAUACCGUCCAGAACCCCGAUUGCGAAGGCAGCUGACUAGGCUGUUACUGACGCUGAGGCACGAAAGCGUGGGGAGCGAACAGGAUUAGA
rnacentral:rRNA from 1 species